ACACUGUAUGCCAAGUUCUGGAGCACUCUUCCAAAUUCACUGCCCUGUGGGUGGCCAUGGGACUCUGGCACAGCAGAGAAGAUAUGGAGGUGACAUUCAACAGCCAGUCAGAGGGACGCCCACCCUGGCGUUGGGCAG